rnacentral:rRNA from 1 species
GACAGAGGUGCCAAGCGUUAGGCGGAAUCACUGGGCUUAAAGCGUGUGUAGGCGGAUCGUUAAGUACCUUGUGAAAUCCCACGGCUCAACCGUGGAACUGCUGGGUAUACUGGCGAUCUUGAGCCACCUAGGGGCGAGCGGAACAAACGGUGGAGCGGUGAAAUGCGUAGAUAUCGUUUGGAACGCCAACGGUGAAAACAGCUCGCUGGGGGGUGUGCUGACGCUGGAGACACGAAAGCCAGGG